UCCGCCGGCCGGCCGCGGAGGCCCAGCUGUCAGCACCACCUUUCACCUGAGCCCACUGCCUCCUGAACCAGCUGGAGGAUGUGUGUAGGCAGUUUCUGAUGACAUUCAGGGAGCCGAGGGACCACGAGCUCUGCCUCCCACGAAGUGCUCAGUGGCCAGGUGGCAACAAAAGAUGGAGCUGAGAAGAAAAAGUGGUGGUAACAGGGCUCUGCGAUGGCUUUCAUGUACACUGCUUCACCUCAGAGCCUCCUGAGCUGUCACCUGAGGUAAGGGAUAGUGAACACCGAGCUCAACUUAGUGGCCAGAGGUACUUUUGAUAGUUCAAGGCUGCCCAUGCUUGGCCCAGCUGUGCCCUUUAUGGGCACAGCCAGAGGUUCCUCACAUUGCUGGGUCACAGCCCAGCAGUGAAGGCACAGAGCAGACAGCUACAAAACCACCCUAGUGAGGCACGUCUGUCUCAUUUCUUUGAAUUUGGACAAAUUUCAGAAUGACUCAAUAAAAGUUACAAUUCACAG